CCCUGGACUCUGCCUGCUCUGUAUCCUUGGGGCAAGCAGUUCUCAGAGUCUGUGCAGAGCCCAGCUGGUGCUGCAGCUGAGGGAACCGGGCAAGCAUAGAUUCUACUUUGAACAGACAUCUGGAUCAUCCCCAGGUGUGUUGAUUUGAAGAGAAGAGGAACAUCCUGAAAUAGUGGCCAAGAACUCAGAGAACCCAGAGGAGGUUGAAGCCAGAAGAGAGAGGAGUCUAGACACCUGAGUAACAGAGCUUCCGCACCAAUGACUGAAGCUGGGACACUUCAUAUGCUAAGCAAGCACAAGGAGAGUGAGACAUUGUUUCAUUGAGGAGAAAAACUCCUCAGGUUCCCGAGAAUCUCGACACAGUCACAGGUAUCUAGUUUCCUCCCAGGCUUCUCCGGAAAAAUAAUGCUUUGGUUGAUCAUGGUAUUUUCUUGGAGCACUAGCUCUGGCAUAAAUAUACAGUCGGAAAAUGAUGCCAUCCUGGAAGAUAUACAAUAUGUUCCUGGCAAGAGACACUAGGCAUAUCUCUUCUACUGCCUGCUGCCCUUCCCAGAAUCCAGCUGCAUCGUGAAGGACCCACAGCUUGGAAAUUGAAGCAAUGAAGGAACUGAGCCUCUGUAAUUGCUUGCUUCCCCUGGGUCAGAGGCAGACAGAUAUGUGUCAAUCAGGAUGUGGUUUUUGUACAUAAGAAGCAAAGAACAAUGAGACUUGGGGUACACAGUUUGGGCAAGUUCCUGACUGACAAGUUCCUGCUGGCCAUUGUGUCAUCAAAUAAAGAUAUUCUAUUGGUU
rnacentral:lncRNA from 1 species